rnacentral:tRNA from 1 species
UUGUCAGAAAAUAGUUUAUAAAAAAAUAUUAAUUUUGGAGAUUAAAGAUAAAGUAAUAAUUUUUUUUCUGA